rnacentral:rRNA from 1 species
CCUACGGGUGGCAGCAGUGAGGAAUAUUGGUCAAUGGGCGGGAUCCUGAACCAGCCAAGCCGCGUGAGGGAAGAAGGUACUGAGAAUUGUAAACCUCUUUUGUCACGGGACAAAGUCCGCUACGAGUCGCCGUAUGAGUGUACGUGACGAAAAAGCAUCGGCUAACUCCGUGCCAGCAGCCGCGGUAAUACGGAGGAUUCGAGCGUUAUCCGGAUUUAUUGGGUUUAAAGGGUGCGGAGGCGGUUUUUUAAGUUAGCGGUUAAAUGCCGGGGCUCAACCCCGGGGCGGCCGCUGAUACUGGAGUGCUAGAGUUGGAGAGAAGUAUGCGGAAUGUGUGGUGUAGCGGUGAAAUGCAUAGAUAUCACGAAGAACACCGAUUGCGAAGGCAGCAUGCCGGGUCCAAACUGACGCUGAGGCACGAAAGCGUGGGUAUCGAACAGGAUUAGAUACCCGUGUAGUC